UGAUGAUGAUGAUGAUGAUGAUGAUGGUGACGAUGAUGAUGUGAAAUUAUUAUUAUAAUUGUUAUUAUUUUUAUUAUUUUUAUCAUCAUCUUCAUCAUCAUCAUCAUCAUCAUCA
rnacentral:pre_miRNA from 1 species